GACGAACGCUGGCGGCGUGGAUUAGGCAUGCAAGUCGAACGGUAGGAUACCUUCGGGUAUCUGAGAGUGGCGAACGGGUGAGUAACACGUAGGUGAUCUACCCUCAAGAUUGGGACAACCCAGGGAAACUUGGGCUAAUACCGGAUGAAAGCAGCAGUGAUGUUGUUUGAAAGGUGGCGUAAGCUGCCGUUUGGGGAUGAGCCUGCGCUCUAUUAGUUAGUUGGCGGGGUAAAGGCCCACCAAGGCGAUGAUGGAUAGGCGGCCUUAACGGGUGGUCGCCCACACUGGGAUUGAGAUACGGCCCAGACUCCUACGGGAGGCAGCAGUCGAGAAUAGUCUACAAUGGCCGAAAGGCUGAUAGUGCGACGCCGCGUGAACGAAGAAGCCCUUCGGGGUGUAAAGUUCUUUUAUAUGUGAGCAGUGCUUUCUAUGUGAACAGCAUGGGGAGAGAGAUAUUAGCAUAUGAAUAAGCAACGGCUAACUCCGUG
rnacentral:rRNA from 1 species